AUUGAACGCUGGCGGCGUGCCUAACACAUGCAAGUCGAGCGGUAACAGGUGUAGCAAUACAUGCUGACGAGCGGCGGACGGGUGAGUAACGCUUGGGAAUCUGCCUAUUAGUGGGGGACAACCCGGGGAAACUCGGGCUAAUACCGCAUACGCACUACGGUGGAAAGCCGGGGACCGCAAGGCCUGGCGCUAACAGAUGAGCCCAAGUCGGAUUAGCUAGUUGGUAGGGUAACGGCCACCAAGGCGACGAUCCGUAACUGGUCUGAGAGGACGACCAGUCACACCGGAACUGAGACACGGUCCGGACUCCUACGGGAGGCAGCAGUGGGGAAUAUUGGACAAUGGGCGAAAGCCUGAUCCAGCGACGCCGCGUGGGUGAAGAAGGCCUGCGGGUUGUAAAGCCCUUUCAGUGGGGAAGAAAAGCCUCGAGCUAACACCUCGGGGUCUUGACGUAACCCAUAGAAGAAGCACCGGCUAACUCUGU
rnacentral:rRNA from 1 species